rnacentral:rRNA from 1 species
AGCGAACGCUGGCGGCAGGCCUAACACAUGCAAGUCGAACGGACCCUUCGGGGUUAGUGGCGGACGGGUGAGUAACACGUGGGAACGUGCCUUUAGGUUCGGAAUAGCUCCUGGAAACGGGUGGUAAUGCCGAAUGUGCCCUUCGGGGGAAAGAUUUAUCGCCUUUAGAGCGGCCCGCGUCUGAUUAGCUAGUUGGUGAGGUAAUGGCUCACCAAGGCGACGAUCAGUAGCUGGUCUGAGAGGAUGACCAGCCACAUUGGGACUGAGGCACGGCCCAAACUCCUACGGGAGGCAGCAGUGGGGAAUCUUGCGCAAUGGGCGAAAGCCUGACGCAGCCAUGCCGCGUGAAUGAUGAAGGUCUUAGGAUUGUAAAAUUCUUUCACCGGGGACGAUAAUGACGGUACCCGGAGAAGAAGCCCCGGCUAACUUCGUGCCAGCCGCCGCAGUAAAAC